UGAGUGUUUCAUAGUUAAACGUAUUUGGAUCUCGUAUGUGAUGUGGUUCUGUAAUCUCGUGUUAGACGUAGACCUCGAUCUGGUAGUUGAGGCCAGAGCCGCGCUCGGACUUGAGCCGGAUGUUGGCGUACGAGAAGCCGACGCCGCCCGCCGUCACGCUGGGGAUCGCCUCCGUGUGGUCAAGGUCGCGAGCGAUGAUACCCUGGAAUCAAUAGAUUAACCAAAUUAAACAACUUUUACU